rnacentral:lncRNA from 1 species
CAGGGUGACAGUGAUCAUCAGACCUACAAAAUGAAGGUGAGGAGGAGUCAAUUGUGAUUGUUCUUUUUGCCCCAUCGUGGAUUUGCCUAUUUUAUUUUACUGAUGAUGGGAAAUUGAUAGAUUGGAAACAUCAGAGUCACUGGUUGUCAGUAAAUGAUAUAAUCAUAAUUAUAAGGCAGUUUUGUUAUAGACUUAAAUUAGUCUUCAGCAAAGUAAUAAUAGGGGCAGGAAUCUUAAGAAAGAUGGCUUAACCCAGUCAGAAGGGACAAGCAUAAUUUUCUUCCAUGGCUAUUUAGAGCCAACUGGGAGCCGGGAUGGGAAACUACUAAAGUUUGAUGCACCAGACUUUGGCCUGAUGCGCUCUCAGCAAAAUGUACAGAGGAGAUGGCCACUUGGUCUUUGGGAGCCCCUGGCUCUCUCUUUUUAAUGACACUAGCUGCUCUUAGCGCCCACUACAGGAAAUGAAGCAAUGGAAGAAGCGCACCUCAUGUGAAAGCAUUUGGAUUUUGCUAGGCUAUUUUCUGAGUAGUAUUUGUCCCGUGGAAAAAUACAGAAGAGGAAAU